rnacentral:rRNA from 1 species
CCUGCCCAGUGACUCUGUUCAACGGCCGCGGUAUCCUAACCGUGCGAAGGUAGCGUAAUCACUUGUUCUUUAAAUGAGGACUAGUAUGAAUGGCACCACGAGGGUUACACUGUCUCCUUUUUCUAAUCAGUGAAACUAAUCUUCCCGUGAAGAAGCGGGAAUAAACAUAUAAGACGAGAAGACCCUAUGGAGCUUUAAACUCAAUAACACUUGCUUUUAAGUACCAAUACUUCAGAGUAACAAACACUCAUUAUGGCCUCCUGAUUAUUAGUUUUAGGUUGGGGUGACCGCGGAGCAAAAGACAACCUCCACAUUGAAUGGGGGUAUACCCCUGAGCCACGAGCUACAACUCUACGCACCAAUAAAUUGACAUCUAUUGACCCAAUAUAUUGAUCAACGAACCAAGUUACCCUAGGGAUAACAGCGCAAUCCGCCUCAAGAGCUCCUAUCGACAGGCGGGUUUACGACCUCGAUGUUGGAUCAGGGUAUCCCAGUGGUGCAGCCGCUACUAAAGGUUCGUUUGUUCAACGAUUAAAACCCU